ACGCUGGCGGCAAGGCUUAACACAUGCAAGUCGAGCGCCCCGCAAGGGGAGCGGCAGACGGGUGAGUAACGCGUUGGGAACCUAUACCCUUUGGUUCGGAAUAACUCAGGGAAACUUGAGCUAAUACCGGAUACGUCCGUAAGGAGAAAGAUUUUAUCGCCAAAGGAUUGGCCCGCGUCCGAUUAGCUAGUUGGUGAGGUUAAACGGCUUCACCAAGGCUACGAUCGGUAGCUGGUCUGAGAGGAUGAUCAGCCACAUUGGGACUGAGACACGGCCCAAACUCCUACGGGAGGCAGCAGUGGGGAAUAUUGGACAAUGGGCGCAAGCCUGAUCCAGCCAUGCCGCGUGAGUGAUGAAGGCCUUAGGGUUGUAAAGCUCUUUUGUCCGGGAAGAUAAUGACUGUACCGGAAGAAUAAGCCCCGGCUAACUUCGUG
rnacentral:rRNA from 1 species